rnacentral:rRNA from 1 species
AUUGAACGCUGGCGGCAGGCCUAACACAUGCAAGUCGAGCGGAGCGGCGGACGGGUGAGUAAUGCCUAGGAAUCUGCCUGGUAGUGGGGGAUAACGUCCGGAAACGGGCGCUAUUACCGCUUACUAUCAGAUGAGCCUAGGCCGGAUUAGUUUGUUGGUGGGGUAAAGGCCUACAAAGGCGACGACCCGUAACUGGUCUGAGAGGAUGAUCAGUCACACUGGAACUGAGACACGGUCCAGACUCCUACGGGAGGCAGCAGUGGGGAAUAUUGGACAAUGGGCGAAAGCCUGAUCCAGCCAUGCCGCGUGUGUGAAGAAGGUCUUCGGAUUGUAAAGCACUUUAAGUUGGGAGGCGUUACCAGCAGAAUAAGCACCGGCUAACUCCGUGCCAGCCGCCGCGGUAAUAC